CUUAUUAAUAAGCAUGCCUCACUACUUCUUUAUAAGCAGUGAUGAGGAAGAGAGCAUGUGAGGCCAGUCUGCUGCCCUGAUGUUUGGCACAGUCUGAGUACAGUGAUUAUUUGUCAGCGCUGGUCUGUCUGUUUGUUUCUGUUUGAAGGAAAGUAUUAGCUCCCAGAGGCUUGGUUCACCUUUUUUGUGGUCAUGCCAAAUGCGAUCCUAAUGGUGAUGCACUGAGAUAUAAAUGUCAAGACCGUGAAGAAUACACACAAACAACUGAGGUUGAGACAGUGGAGAAGAGAGCAGGCACUGAGGUCUAACUGGAGGGUUUGAACACCACCUGCUUACAUCCUCUGCCAGCUGUGUGAAUAUGAACAAAUUUAACUGUGCCUCUGUCUCCACAUCUAAAAAAGGGAUCAUAAGAGCACAUCCUCAGCAUUACCAUAAGCUGAAAACAAACCAUUCACAGAGAAGGAUUUACUACUUGACAGAAUAAUCCUUAAUUACAUUGACAUUGUCCUCACAGCGUCUGUGGAGCAAACAGAGCUGAGGAAGCUUAUGUGACCUGCCCGACGCAUGAGCCCACUUCUGCAUCCUGCCCACCUGGAUUCUCUCCGCUGAGCUCUUCCUGUUUUCCCUGCUGUGGGAAUAGCAGGGAAUCCAUUUCCUGAUUUGGAACAGUGCACCUCCCUGAAGCCAUUGGUUGAGCAGUCUCAGUCUUACCUCCCUUAUCAUAAGCUAAAUGUCAAUGGAAUCAUGAACUUUUCUCAUCACUUUUUGGUGUUAUCAAUGACUUCCUUAAACACUGUAUUUUGUUAAAACAUUUAGCAUUUUCUAAUUGCUUUCACAUGUACCAUCUCAUUAAUUUAAAAUAAUGACUUCAUCAGAACUGCAAGUUUCAUAAAUGAGUAAAACUCAUUUUGUAAAUGAGUAAUCUAAAAACCAGUGACCCCACAAGAGACUGACCCAGACUUGCCUGUGAGUGUCCAGGAGUCUCCACAGAAGGGAUGGGUCAGCGGUGGCCUGUUGCAG
ensembl:lncRNA